CGCAUUGUAGCCCCCCACCCUCGUCGUAAUGUCUGUGAGGGCUGUGUGGGGCUGAUACUGGCCUUCCCGUAUGCACAGCAAUGCGGUUGGCCCAAAUGGAGGAACCCAGGGCGGUGUAUGCCAUGAUGAACGGUGGUGUGUGCUUAGCCUGCCGUCGUUAGAGCAUCAUGCGCAUCAUGCCCUUGAGGUAUGUUUCGUGGACAACCCCGGUGCAAUCAUAGCGCGCAUCGCGACCCCAGGUCAGGCGGGAGCACCCGCUGAGUUUAAGCAUAUCAAUAAGCGGAGGAAAAGAAACUUACCAGGAUUCCCCUAGUAACGGCGAGCGAACCGGGAAUAGCCCAGCUUGAAAAUUGGUCGCCCUCGGCGUUCGAAUUGUAGUCUGGAGAAGCGUCAA
rnacentral:rRNA from 1 species